rnacentral:lncRNA from 1 species
CAGACCGAAGCAGGGAAGUGUUAAGUUGGAUGGAGGGAGUCAUGCAUGGGUAUCCUUGGGCACCACAAGUAAGGAUUCCUGAGUGCUGCAAGGCAACCCACAUUUCUUUUGAAUUCUGCAGUUGCUCCAGUUUGAAGACACUUGUUUCUCAUGAAAAGUUUUACUAAUAUUAUAAAUUCACUUCACUAAGAAGAGAUAGGACCAUACUGUAUAUUGUGUCUUUGUCCAUUAAAAGUUGCCACAUUUAAAAAAGUAUGAUGUUUUCUCUUAUUACCAAAGGAGUAUGCCUGUCAUAUAAUAUCUGAGUUAAAAAUGUGUUCAUGUAGUUCUGUAUUCAAUUUUGCUUAAAAAUAUGAGACCAAAUGGCG